rnacentral:rRNA from 1 species
UACGGAGGGUGCAAGCGUUGUUCGGAAUCAUUGGGCGUAAAGCGCGUGUAGGCGGCUUGGCAAGUCAGUUGUGAAAGCCCGGGGCCCAACCCCGGAAUUGCAUCUGAAACUGCUUGGCUGGAGUCCCGGAGAGGAAGGCAGAAUUCCCGGUGUAGGGGUGAAAUCCGUAGAUAUCAGGAGGAACACCAAUGGCGAAGGCAGCACUCUGGGACGUGACUGACGCUGAGACGCGAAAGCGUGGGGAGCAAACAGG